CGACUUGGAGGUUGUUCCCUUGAGGAGUGGCUUCCGGAGCUAACGCGUUAAGUCGACCGCCUGGGGAGUACGGCCGCAAGGUUAAAACUCAAAUGAAUUGACGGGGGCCCGCACAAGCGGUGGGGCAUGUGGUUUAAUUCGAUGCAACGCGAAGAACCUUACCUACUCUUGACAUCCACGGAAUUCGGCAGAGAUGCCUUAGUGCCUUCGGGAACCGUGAGACAGGUGCUGCAUGGCUGUCGUCAGCUCGUGUUGUGAAAUGUUGGGUUAAGUCCCGCAACGAGCGCAACCCUUGUCCUUUGUUGCCAGCGAGUCAUGUCGGGAACUCAAAGGAGACUGCCGGUGAUAAACCGGAGGAAGGUGGGGAUGACGUCAAGUCAUCAUGGCCCUUACGAGUAGGGCUACACACGUGCUACAAUGGCGCAUACAAAGAGAAGCGACCUCGCGAGAGCAAGCGGACCUCACAAAGUGCGUCGUAGUCCGGAUCGGAGUCUGCAACUCGACUCCGUGAAGUCGGAAUCGCUAGUAAUCGUGGAUCAGAAUGCCACGGUGAAUACGUUCCCGGGCCUUGUACACACCGCCCGUCACACCAUGGGAGUGGGUUGCAAGAGAAGUAGGUAGCUUAAACUUCGGGAGGGCGCUUACCACUUUGUGAUUCAUGACUGGGGUGAAGUCGUAACAAGGUAUC
rnacentral:rRNA from 1 species